UUGGCCUACGGGGCGCAGCAGUGGGGAAUAUUGGGCAAUGGGCGCAAGCCUGACCCAGCAACGCCGCGUGAAGGAAGAAGGCUUUCGGGUUGUAAACUUCUUUUCUCAGGGACGAAGCAAGUGACGGUACCUGAGGAAUAAGCCACGGCUAACUACGUGUCAGCAGCCGCGGUAAUACAUAGGUGGCAAGCGUUAUCCGGAUUUACUGGGUGUAAAGGGCGUGUAGGCGGGACUGCAAGUCAGAUGUGAAAACCAUGGGCUCAACCUGUGGCCUGCAUUUGAAACUGUAGUUCUUGAGUACUGGG
rnacentral:rRNA from 1 species